CCCUUAGUGCUGCAGCUAACGCAUUAAGCACUCCGCCUGGGGAGUACGGCCGCAAGGCUAGAAACUCAAAGGNAUUGACGGGGGCCCGCACAAGCGGUGGAGCAUGUGGUAUUAAUUCGAACGCUAACGCGAAGAACCUUACCAGGUCUUGACAUCCUCUGACAACCCUAGAGAUAGGGCCUUCCCCUUCGGGGGACAGAGUGACAGGUGGUGCAUGGUUGUCGUCAGCUACGUGUCGAUGAGAUGUUGGGUUAAGUCCCGCAACGAGCGCAACCCUUGAUCUUAGUNGCCAGCAUUCAGUUGGGCACUCUAAGGUGACUGCCGGUGACAAACCGGAGGAAGGUGGGGAUGACGUCAAAUCAUCAUGCCCCUUAUGACCUAGGGCUACACACGUGCUACAAUGGAUGGUACAAAGAGCCCGCAAACCCGCGAGGGCAAGCUAAUCUCAUAAAGCCAUUCUCAGUUCGGAUUGCAGGCUGCAACUCGCCUGUAUGAAGCCGGAAUUCGCUAGUAAUCGCGGAUCAGCAUGCCGCGGUGAAUACGUUUCCCGGGGCCUUGNACACACCGCCCGNNNNNNCNNNNNGAGAGUUUGUAAACACCCCGAAAAGUCGGGUGAGGUAACCCAUUUUUGGGAGACCAGCCGCCNU
rnacentral:rRNA from 1 species